rnacentral:lncRNA from 1 species
ACAUGUAUUGAUGAAAACAUAAUAGGUUCAGAUAUGAAAUCAUGGCACUCGGGCCCUAGUGACAAGCAUUAAGCAUAGCAAAGUAGUAGCAACAUCAAUCUUAGAACAUAGUGGAUACUAGGGAUCAAAGCCCAUCAAAACUAACUCGAUUAGAUGACAGAUCUCAUCCAAUCCAUCACCGUCCAGCAAGCCUACGAUAAGAUUACUCACGAACGAUGGAUAGCAUCAUGGAAUUGGCAAUGGAGGAUGGUUGAUGAUGACGACG